GCCCUCGUAGCUCAGUAGGAUAGAGCACAGGAUUCCUAAUCCUGGUGCCGCAGGUUCGAAUCCUGCCGGGGGCACCA
rnacentral:tRNA from 1 species